rnacentral:rRNA from 1 species
GACGAACGCUGGCGGCGUGCUUAACACAUGCAAGUCGAACGGUAAGGCCCUUCGGGGUACACGAGUGGCGAACGGGUGAGUAACACGUGGGUGAUCUGCCCUGCACUUCGGGAUAAGCCUGGGAAACUGGGUCUAAUACCGGAUAGGACCACUGCCUGCAUGGGGGGUGGUGGAAAGCUUUUGCGGUGUGGGAUGGGCCCGCGGCCUAUCAGCUUGUUGGUGGGGUAAUGGCCUACCAAGGCGACGACGGGUAGCCGGCCUGAGAGGGUGACCGGCCACACUGGGACUGGGAUACGGCCCAGACUCCUACGGGAGGCAGCAGUGGGGAAUAUUGCACAAUGGGCGCAAGCCUGAUGCAGCGACGCCGCGUGAGGGAUGACGGCCUUCGGGUUGUAAACCUCUUUCAGUAGGGACGAAGCGCAAGUGACGGUACCUACAGAAGAAGGACCGGCCAACUACGUGCCAGCCGCCGCAGUAA